UCUGGCGGCAGUAGCGCGGUGGUCCCACCUGACCCCAUGCCGAACUCAGAAGUGAAACGCCGUAGCGCCGAUGGUAGUGUGGGGUCUCCCCAUGCGAGAG
rnacentral:rRNA from 3 species